UGUUAUACUUAUUAUAAAAUAAUUGAUGCCUGAUUAGUAAAAGUUAUGUGCUCUAAAUUCAAAGAAUUUGGCGGCUUUUUAAUCUUAUUAGGGGAACCUGUUCUUUAAACGAUAAUCCACGUAAUAUCUUACCUAUUUUUAGUUUGUAUACCGUCAUUUAAGUAACUUUUGUAGAAGUAGUUAUUAGGAUAAUAGUUAAAAUGUUAGAUCAAGGUGCAGCAUAUGAGUAGGUUAGAAUGGGUUACAAUAAAAUUUAUUUAUAACGGAAA
rnacentral:rRNA from 1 species